AUGUAAUCAUUGUGAUUGUAUACGAAACAGAACACAAAUAAGGGAUUAUUUAAUGCCAAUGACCAUUGUUUACCUCUCGUCUCUAUACAAACCAAAGUGUCUUGUGUAUUCAAUUCUGAUGAGCCGCUUAUGUAUAAGAGGUGAGACUGUUGGCUUUAAUCCUACCAAUAACUUCAGCUGCAUCAUGAAGAGUAGACAGAGAUUCUGGCGGUUGAGGGUUUCUUCGUAGAGGUUGAUCGAUUCUUAAUGUCCUGUGGAUUUUAAGUUCCCAAAACUGUUGCUUAGGACAUACAAGAUCGUUCAAUGUCCAAGAAGAAACCUGAGCCGCUACAAUCAUCGGUCUAAUCUCUUUAGCAGAUGAAGUUAUUUGUGGUAUAAAACCCACAGUUUUAUCAUGCAUUCUCACAUAUCCAUGAUCCAUCUGUACACAAUUGGCAAUUCUCAAACAAUUAUAGCGUU
rnacentral:precursor_RNA from 1 species